CGUGAAACUCCGAAGCCCAGCUGCUCAUUUACACGCGCGUGCUUCAUUGCUUGGCACGUGGAUACUGACACGUGUGAUGCGUUGCGCUCUGCACAGGACUUUCAAAUCUCCAUGGUGGGAACCGGGAAACGUAGAGAAACUCGAAUGUUUUCAAUCUCUUUGUUUGGAGCGCCCUAGAGAGAGAGAGGGACAGAGAGAGGAAAGAGAAUUGAGUUUUUGUCAUUUUCGGAGGGAGCGAGAGAGAGAGGCUACAGAUUGGAAGAACCAGUGGAGAGUCUAGUUUCUUUGACUGGACAUGGCAGCGGAAAAGGGGCAGAAUAAGGAGGAAGGCAUGUUUUCAGGCAUGACUUUCUACUUGGUCGCUAAAGGAGUUCAGCCUAAGAGACUUCAGAUUUGGAGGGAAAAGCUGGUUCAGAUGGGAGCUGCAAUUGAGGAUCAUCUUUCUAAGAAGGUUAUGCAUAUCCUCGCCAAAAAUCAGCAAACUCUUGUUGAGCAAGUGGGUCUCCGGCAUCUAAGACAUUUCAAGGGAAAGUUACUUCUCUACCAAUGGUUGGAGGAGUGCUUGAAACGUGGGGAAAAGGCAUCUGAUGAUUCUUAUUUUAUUAACCUUGAAAAUGUGAAAACAUAUCAUCCAACCGAUAAGAAGCUUGAUCCAACCAAAGAAGACGUUUCAAAUGAUCAGGAAUCUAAAAGUUCCAAAAAAAUCAAAGUGCGUAAUGAGGAUUCAAAAGGUUCAUCUGCAAUUAUGAACAAGGACACCUGGAUAACAGCUGAGUUUUCUGGUGGCAAUGUAGCAUUGGAACGUCAAGUUGACAAAGUUCAUCAGCCACUGGAAAAACCAAAAAUUGGAACUGAUUCUUCCAAUUCCUUGUUAUUGCAAUCAAAUUCUGAGGCUGCAUAUACGAGUACUGGAGAAGCACAUCUUACAAAUAAGGAGUUAUCCUCAGCAUACAAGCCACCAGAUUUGAACAAGAAUAUUACAGAGAUAUUUGGGAGGCUUAUUAAUAUUUAUAGAGCUCUCGGAGAUGAUAGGAGGUCAUUCAGCUACUAUAAGGCUAUUCCUGUAAUUGAACAAUUGCCAUUCAAAAUUGAAAGUGGUGACCAGGUUAAACAUCUCCCAGCCAUUGGAAAGUCAUUGCAGGACCAUAUUCAUGAGAUAGUAAUCACUGGGAAGCUGUCAAAACUGGAGCACUUUGAGACAGACGAAAAGGUUCGAACAAUCACUCUGCUUGGUGAAGUUUGGGGCAUUGGUCCUGCAACUGCACUAAAACUGUAUGAGAAAGGACACCGUACUUUAGAAGACCUUAGAGGUGAUGAUUCUUUGACUAGCGCACAGAGAAUAGGGUUGAAAUACUUCGAUGACAUCAAGAAGAGAAUUCCUCGACAGAUGGUUAGAGAUAUGGAGAUUCUUCUGCAAAGGGCUGGAGAAGAUGUUCUACCUGGUGUCGUUAUUAUUUGUGGAGGAUCAUUUCGACGUGGAAAAUCAUCUUGUGGGGAUUUAGAUGUUGUUGUAACACACCCUGAUGGUGAAAGCCAUAAAGGUUUCUUGUCACGCUUCGUGAAACAUUUGAAGGAUAUGCAGUUCUUAAGAGAAGAUUUAGUCUUCAGCACUCAUAGCACAGAGGGAACUGAUUCUGGUGUUGACACAUAUUUUGGCCUUUGCACAUAUCCAGGGCAGGAGCAGCGCCACCGUAUUGAUUUGAAGGUAUACCCAAGGGAUAUAUAUGCUUUUGGAUUGAUCGCUUGGACUGGCAAUGAUGUCCUAAAUCGGCGAUUAAGGUUGCUAGCAGAUUCGAAGGGCUACAGAUUGGAUGAUACAGGACUCUUUCUGGUUGCUCAUGGUUCUAGUGGUAAAAAGGUGAGAGACUUCGAUGGUAUUCAGUAUUCUAUGUACUUUUUUUUGGUGAUCUCCACAGCUUCGAUGGUCUACUUUUUUUUUUUCUCAUCACCUCUCAGGUUGCUAAAGCCAGUUCGAGUUUGAAACAGAGAACAGAGAAAGAAGUCUUUGACUUCCUUGGAUUUCCCUGGCUUGAGCCUCACGAGAGGAAUUUGUGAGUUUUUCCAGGAACAGGUGUGGUUUUAGAUCCUAGCAUAUUAUCAAAUUUACACCAAAAUCUGGACCAUUCAGCUUACAAGCAACCACUCUUGCGUCUAUAGUGUAAGCCACCUUUUUUUUGUGCUUUGUUUAUAGUUCCCGGUGUAUAUAAAUCUUUUGCCCAUGAUGUACAGUCUGAGAUCAGCUCUUUAGGUUUAACUUGGGUUUAAACAGCAAAUCCUUUGACAGUUUACAUAACUCAAGGAUUACUCAACGCAUGGUCACAUACUAGCGCCAUGUGAAUCUGUAAAUGCAAAAUCAGAAGAAAUGGAGCUUAGUUUUUGCACAUACGAUAUAUCCCAACUUGUCUACAGCCAUGAUUGUAUUUUGUGUUA